ensembl:lncRNA
AUUCACUGGGGGAUAUCAGAAGCUUUGUUUUGGCCACGUUUAGAUUCUGAGGUAUUUCAGAGAUCGCUGAGUGGAGGCAUCGGAUUGGCAGCUGGAAACCCAAGUCGGGAAAUCAAAAGAGCCGUUCAUAUUGGAGACAUUCAAAAUGUGGCAUUUACUGUGUGGACCUAAAGGCUGGUCCGUCCUUCUCAUACCAGAACCAUGGACACUGCUUGUUUCUCCAAUUCCGUAAGCACGUGCUGUGGCUGGUGGAUUUUCUUGGUCCUGAACAUACCCUUCCACAUAGUGGUCAUGUGUCACCAGGAAACGAGCUGGCUGGAAGUUAUUUGCAGAAAAACAGGUUAUUGGUGUGGAGUAGAUAAUGAGGAGGCACCUUUGGAGCAGAGCAUUUCCGUAGGAGUGUCACAGGUCAGGACUCCUAGACAGGACUCCUAGACAGGUGCGUCUGCCCAGAAGGCCCACUCCUGUGAGCCCCAGAAGCAGUACAUUGGAGAGAAACACUUCAGAAGCAGAGCCUCGUUUGUGAAGAGCUGCAGGUUCUGUGUGUCAAGGAAGCCCUUUACCUGCAGGGAGGUUUUGAAGGACUUCUUGAUCAGCUCAGGAUCUCUCCAAGUAAGUCCGCGAGCAGUACCAAGCGUGUAGUGGCCUUACAUAAUAUAAAAAUGUAUUAUAAAUGGGGAGGAUGCAUGAAAACUUGUGAGAACAAGUACACAUUUAUACAACACGAGAGAGACCUCUCUAGAACAAGAUGUUACAUAUAUAGUGCGUGUGGGAGGUCUUUUAGCAAAAGGUACCGCCUCAAUCACCACUGGAGAGUUCACACUGGAAAAGGGCCUUAAUGAGUGUGUGGAAUGUGGUAAAUUAUUUAGCAACAAGGCCAUCCUCAUUCAGCACCACACAGUUCACGCUGGGGAAAGGCCGUAUGUAUGCAGGGAAUGUGGGAACUUGUUUACUUACAGAUCUCUUUCAUUGCCUGAGGUUUCACACUGAAUCAAGGCCUUUUGAGUAUGGGGAAUGUGGGAAACCCUUUAAAUGACGCUCUGUUGCUCCUGCAGUGUUGGAAAGUUCACACUGGAUUAAGGCCUUAUGAAUGACUGCUCAGGUGGAGGACCUGGCUCACUGAAUAUCAGAAAAUUCACAUAGGAAAUUUAGGGAAUUAACAUCGAUGUGUGGGGAGUGUGCUAGUUCUGUAGUCCUUCUAACACAGCAGGUGAUCCCUUAUAAGGGUGCUAUCUACCUGAAUUUAAU